GCCCCAGUAGCUCAGCCUGGCCAGAGCGGCUGAUAAUCUCUUAGCCGAGCCUCGUAAGCAGCAGGCCGCGAGUUCAAGUCUCGCCUGGGGCU
rnacentral:tRNA from 1 species